CUGAGUUUAUGGUAACUCCUUACACAGUAACAGAAAACGAAUACACUGUGUGUGGGCAUGUUUGCAUUAUGCCUAGAUUCUCUGUUAAGCGUUUUAACUUGUCAGUUCCUUUGCAUAUAUAUUCUAAAAUGACAGUGACAGCUAAAGAAGAAUAAUGCUGUCUUGUAUAUAGACAGAUGAAAUGCCUGUCUCUCCAUCAUUAAAACACUUUGGUUGCUUUUUGGGAGUUGGGGGUUGUUGCAAGGAGCCACCUGCCUUCUGAGGUCCCACCUGUAUGGAGACCAUUUGCCUACCUAAGGGAAGUAGCUGAAGAACUUCAGGAGGAAAUCGUGGCACAAAUGGCCUGACAUUAAAUUCAGUUCUCCAUCUUAAAUUGACUCUUUGAUGUCGCUCAGAGAAGCUCAGUGAAAUGUACAUUUAACAUUCUUCGUUCUGUAUAUUUUGAUCUUUCCAUCUGACUCUGGUAUGUUUGUGCCUCUCCCCUCUGGAAGAGUUGGUUUGCUUUUAUUCCACUUAUUUUUAUUCUGUAGAAUACUUGAAGAGGUUUUGGGAGCCUAUGAGGACAGUGUAAUGCUUCCCUAACAGACAUUCCAGAUGGCCUAACCAUUUAGGACAGGAAAUGCAGAUCCCUGCCACAAGAAUUUUUGGAAGUCCUGCCAUUUUCUCAGGAUCUGGCUGGGAUGUGAGCCAGACCCCUGAAGGCUCAGACUUCUGCUAAUACCUCUUUUUCCUUGCGGAACUGCCAGAACUGGAGGAAAUACUUUAUUUUUCCCUUCAGAAUGCACUUACAGCGUCAGCCUGAAACUUUUUGUAGUCUUAGGAAUCAAAUGCAGUGUAAGCCGCCCUCUCACUGGAGUCAGUUGAUAAUGUCUUCAGAAUCCUCUCUCUUUCAGUUCUUGCAGAGUGUAACUCCUUCUCCCUUGUGAUCGCACUUCUGCCAGAAGAACGAACAAGCACCACUCUGAACUUUUGACCUGGUACUUUAAGUGCAUUUGAAUCCAUAAAACGCAGAGAAAAUGGCCUUUGUCGUCACUAACUCCCUCCUGCUCAUCUACUAACGGACAAUCAGCACAGCAUUGCAAAAGGCACCUCAACCAGGGAACAGGGAUGUGGCCAGGAGGGGAAGGAAGAGGAAGGACUUUGUGCUCUGAAGCUGCAGGCAUGGGAGACGGAAGCCCAAUAUAGAAGGGUCCUGCUGCUGAGUUGCUCCAUGUGACUGCCACCUACCCUUUUCUCCUUUUGUAAGAGGGACAGCAGGCCUUUGCUUUCCAACUUUACAGGUUAUAAAACUGUGAUUCAGAGAGAUUGGUAUUGCUUCGGAGCCCUUGGGGUGUCUCCCUUUAGGUUAGAUUGUAAAUGACUGUGAAAAUGUGUCUAUCUUUUGUGGUCUCAGUUUCUCUCAAUAGCUUUUCAUCACACCCACUUUCAUUUUUCCCCAUCCUCCAAGAAGUCCCUGGGGUCAUUAUACAAUUUAAAAGAGCAACACUUAAGAGCUUGGACAACUAUUGGUACCAGUGGAGUUAACUGCACAUAAUUUUGCAUCCACAAGAGCUGGAUUUAAAUGUAAAUUCAUUUUCCAAAUGAUUUGUUGGAAGAAUACUUCCAGAAGAAUACUAGUUGUAUGUUUUUUGUCUUUGGAGAUUUUCUUAGCCUUUUUACUCUUAUCUCAAAUCAUAGCCCUUCUUUCUUUCUUAUAAAUCCUCAAAAAAUUCUACUGCCUUAGUGAAUAAUUGUAAUAAAAAGAUGUAGGGUUCUAAUAUUAAUGUUUAAAGUGGGAACUAAGUGGGUAAAAGGUGCCAUCAACCUGGUUUCUUUCAAGAAAUGUACAAAGAUGGAGCUGAGAUAGAAACAUGAUUUUGAUUUUGGAAAAUUGUUUAGCUUAUCUCAGCCUCAGUUUUCUCAUCUAUAAAUUGGGACUGAUACCAUUGACCUUAGAGAAUAGUUGUGCAAAUUAAAUAAAAUUAUAAGGAGUUCUUGCUACUAUACUCAUAAUUCAUUAAAUAUAAGCACCUAUCACC